rnacentral:rRNA from 1 species
UACGGAGGAUGCAAGCGUUAUCCGGAAUGAUUGGGCGUAAAGCGUCCGCAGGUGGCUAUGUAAGUCUGCUGUUAAAGAGUCUAGCUCAACUAGAUAAGAGCAGUGGAAACUACAUGGCUAGAGUGCGUUCGGGGCAGAGGGAAUUCCUGGUGUAGCGGUGAAAUGCGUAGAGAUCGGGAGGAACACCAGAGGCGAAGGCGGCGACCUGGACAGUUACUGACACCCAACUACGAAAGCGUGGGGAGCAAACAGG